GUCUAUGGCCAUGCCACCCUGAAUGUGUCUGAUCUCUUCUGAUCUCGGAUGGUAAGCAGGGUUGGGUCUGGUUAACACUUGAAUGGGAGACCACCUUGGAAUACCAGAUGCUGUAUAUG
rnacentral:rRNA from 1 species